UGGAGCAUGUGGUUAAUUCGACGCAACGCGAAGAACCUUACCUGGGCUUGACAUCCCGAUCGCACCUUAUGGAAACAUAGGGGUCAGUUCGGCUGGAUCGGUGACAGGUGCUGCAUGGCUGUCGUCAGCUCGUGUCGUGAGAUGUUGGGUUAAGUCCCGCAACGAGCGCAACCCUUGUCCUUAGUUGCCAGCAUUCAGUUGGGCACUCUAAGGAGACUGCCGGUGUCAAACCGGAGGAAGGUGGGGGAUGACGUCAAGUCCUCAUGGCCCUUAUGUCCAGGGCUACACACGUGCUACAAUGGCCGGUACAAAGGGGCGCAAGACCGCGAGGUGGAGCAAAUCCCAAAAAACCGGUCUCAGUUCGGAUUGCAGGCUGCAAUUCGCCUGCAUGAAGUCGGAAUCGCUAGUAAUCGCAGGUCAGCAUACUGCGGUCGAAUACGUUCCCGGGCCUU
rnacentral:rRNA from 1 species